GACGUAGGGCGCGAGCGUUGUCCGGAUUGAUUGGGCGUAAAGAGCUCGUAGGCGGCUCGUUGCGUCGGCUGUGAAAACCCGCAGCUCAACUGUGGGCCUGCAGCCGAUACGGGCGGGCUGGAGUUCGGUAGGGGAGACUGGAAUUCCUGGUGUAGCGGUGAAAUGCGCAGAUAUCAGGAGGAACACCGGUGGCGAAGGCGGAUCUCUGGGCCUACCUGACGCUGAGGCGCGAAAGCUAGGGGAGCGAACAGG
rnacentral:rRNA from 1 species